GUUUGUUCUUCGCUAAGCUCAAAUGUGCUGUUCUUUGCUGUUCCAAAAAAGAUGGACAGACCAAAGAUAGCCCAGGCCUCUACUGGCAAGAACAUGAGUCUGUUCUAUUGUUGCCAUUAUUAUAUGUGUGAAUGAACACACAUUCAAAAUGAUGAUCACAGUUCUUAAAAUAGAAUAAGAACUGUCCAACCUGGAUAAGAACUUGACAAGAUGAGAAAUUAGUAAUUACGGCUUCCAUAUCAAGGGUUAAAUGUGGUAUCUGUGCUCAUUUGCAAGGGGCAAAAAGCUUGCAAAUGACUAUCUCUAGCCUCCUAAAAGCCCUUCAGGGUGUGUUACCCCAAGUUUUGGAGAUAAGGCUCACUCAUCAUUUUUCCUGGACUUGGUCAGGAGCCUGGUAGCAGUUGCGAUCAGCUGAUGUUGGGAUAGUUCUCUGUGGUCCCAAUCCUGUCGGGGGAUCAUGGGAUCAUGUUGUCUGACUUAAUAACUGAGCUGACCACAAAGCUCUUUCCUCUUGGUAAGAUUUGAUUC
rnacentral:lncRNA from 1 species